rnacentral:rRNA from 1 species
GACGAACGCUGGCGGCGUGCCUAAUACAUGCAAGUCGAGCGCAGGAAAUCGACGGAACCCUUCGGGGGGAAGUCGACGGAAUGAGCGGCGGACGGGUGAGUAACACGUAAAGAACCUGCCCUCAGGUCUGGGAUAACCACGAGAAAUCGGGGCUAAUACCGGAUGGGUCAUCGGACCGCAUGGUCCGAGGAUGAAAGGCGCUUCGGCGUCGCCGGGGGAUGGCUUUGCGGUGCAUUAGCCAGUUGGUGGGGUAAUGGCCCACCAAGGCGACGAUGCAUAGCCGACCUGGGAGGGUGAUCGGCCACACUGGGACUGAGACACGGCCCAGACUCCUACGGGAGGCAGCAGUAGGGAAUCUUCCACAAUGGACGAAAGUCUGAUGGAGCAACGCCGCGUGAACGAUGAAGGCCUUCGGGUCGUAAAGUUCUGUUGUAAGGGAAGAACAAGUGCCGCAGGCAAUGGCGGCACCUUGACGGUACCUUGCGAGAAAGCCACGGCUAACUACGUGCCAGCCGCCGCCGUAA